rnacentral:lncRNA from 1 species
CUCACGCGCUGUUCGCGAUAAUUCAUUUUACAGAAGAUUGUAACGAUUUUAGAAUUCAUGUUUUCGCAGAAUGUUGUAAUUAUUCAGUAAAAUACUUCUAUUUCUGUCGGUGUGAAGGUUUUGCUACCAGCAAACAACGACUGGGUUUGUUGGGUACCAGGUUGAUACCCUGGCGGAGGUUGAUAUGUGGCACCAAGGUAAGCGUUAUGUGAGUUUUGGUUGCUGUUGGCAUUGCUACAGAUGUACAGAUCAUUACCUCUACCAAAUGUUGCUCCAUAAGAAGGAUCACACAAGAUUGCGCUGCCAUUUUGACCGUUAAUGAUCGGACAUUUGAACGGUUGCAUGUUGUUUGGGUUUCGUAAUGAGAACAAAAAUGAUGCGUUGGAACUUUUCCAC